UACAGAGGGUGCAAGCGUUAAUCGGAAUUACUGGGCGUAAAGGGCGCGUAGGCGGUUAAUUAAGUGAGAUGUGAAAUCCCUGGGCUUAACCUAGGAACUGCAUCUUAUACUGGUUGACUAGAGUAUUGUAGAGGGUAGUGGAAUUUCCGGUGUAGCGGUGAAAUGCGUAGAGAUCGGAAGGAACACCAGUGGCGAAGGCGGCUACCUGGACAAAUACUGACGCUGAGGCGCGAGAGCGUGGGGAGCAAACAGG
rnacentral:rRNA from 1 species